rnacentral:rRNA from 1 species
UGAGGAAUAUUGGUCAAUGGGCGAGAGCCUGAACCAGCCAAGUAGCGUGCAGGAAGACGGCCCUAUGGGUUGUAAACUGCUUUUAUGUGGGGAUAAAGUGCGUGACGUGUCAUGCAUUGCAGGUACCACAUGAAUAAGGACCGGCUAAUUCCGUGCCAGCAGCCGCGGUAAUACGGAAGGUUCGGGCGUUAUCAGGAUUUAUUGGGUUUAAAGGGAGCGUAGGCCGUUUGGUAAGCGUGUUGUGAAAUGUAGGAGCUCAACUUCUAGAUUGCAGCGCGAACUGUCAGACUUGAGUGCGCACAACGUAGGCGGAAUUCAUGGUGUAGCGGUGAAAUGCUUAGAUAUCAUGAAGAACUCCGAUUGCGAAGGCAGCUUACGGGAGCGCAACUGACGCUGAAGCUCGAAGGUGCGGGUAUCGAACAGG